AACGAACGCUGGCGGCGCGUUCUAAGCAUGCAAGUCGGACGCCAAGGUGCAGCAAUGCACCCUAGAGUGGCGGACUGGUGAGUAACGCGUGGGUGACCUACCCUCCGGACGGGGAUAGCUGUUAGAAAUAGCAGGUAAUACCGGAUACGGUUACCUGGCGCCUCAUGGUUUUUCGAGGAGAGAAACCCUGAGGCGCCGGGUAAAGAAAGGAGCUCUGGCUCCGCCGGGGGAUGGGCCCGCGUCCCAUUAGCUGGUUGGUGAGGUAACGGCCCACCAAGGCUCUGAUGGGUAGCCGGCCUGAGAGGGUGAACGGCCACAUUGGGACUGAGAUACGGCCCAAACUCCUACGGGAGGCAGCAGCUAAGAAUAUUCCGCAAUGGACGAAAGUCUGACGGAGCGACGCCGCGUGGAUGACGAAGGCCGAAAGGUUGUAAAAUCCUUUUGCGGACGAAGAAUAAGCGGGGGAGGGAAUGCCUCCGUGAUGACGUUAGUCCGUGAAUAAGCCCCGGCUAAUUACGUGCCAGCAGCCGCGGUAACACGUAAGGGGCGAGCGUUGUUCGGAAUUAUUGGGCGUAAAGGGCGCGUAGGCGGUUAUGUAAGUCUGGCGUGAAAUGCAGGGGCUUAACUCCUGAGCUGCGUUAGAAACUGUGUAACUAGAGUCAUGGAGGGGGAAUCGGAAUUCCUGGUGUAGGGGUGAAAUCUGUAGAUAUCAGGAAGAACACCGGUGGCGAAGGCGGAUUUCCAGCCGAUGACUGACGCUGAGGCGCGAAAGUGCGGGGAGCAAACAGGAUUAGAUACCCUGGUAGUCCGCACUAUAAACGAUGUGCACUAGGUGUUGGGCCGAGUGGCUCAGUGCCGAAGCGAACGUGGUAAGUGCACCGCCUGGGGAGUAUGCCCGCAAGGGUGAAACUCAAAGGAAUUGACGGGGGCCCGCACAAGCGGUGGAGCAUGUGGUUUAAUUCGAUGAUACGCGAGGAACCUUACCUGGGUUUGACAUGGAGGGGAAUGGUGCAGAGAUGUAUCAGCGUAGCAAUACGCCCCUUCACAGGUGCUGCAUGGCUGUCGUCAGUUCGUGCCGUGAGGUGUUGGGUUAAGUCCCGCAACGAGCGCAACCCCUACUGCCAGUUACUAGCAGGUAAUGCUGAGGACUCUGGCGGAACUGCCGGUGACAAACCGGAGGAAGGUGGGGAUGACGUCAAGUCAUCAUGGCCCUUAUGUCCAGGGCUACACACGUGCUACAAUGGGCGGUACAACGUGACGCGAGUCCGCGAGGAUUGAGCGAACCGCAAAAAGCCGUCCGUAGUUCGGAUUGAAGUCUGAAACCCGACUUCAUGAAGUUGGAAUCGCUAGUAAUCGCGCAUCAGCAUGGCGCGGUGAAUACGUUCCCGGGC
rnacentral:rRNA from 1 species